UCAAAGAACAAGAAAAUGUCUGCCUUAUUCCGUCAGAUUUCCUACAGCUAUUGGACCUGUAGGAAGUAGUCGCUGCUCAAGCCGCCAUGACUCAGGUUCUGUCACCCAAUCAGACCUGUCUAGAAAAUAUACUGCAGCCAUCCAAGGAUAUCCAUAUCAGAGUGUUGUCCGACAUGGAUAUACACCCUGAUCGUGAUCUUUCGACAAACAAAAAAACGACUCGCAGCAUUGGUAGGAAAGAAACCGAAAAGGUUGGUUUAAAAAAAAUAAGAUGCUUAAGUUUCUUGUAAUAAUGUUGCUUCUCUCGCUCAAUGCCCAUGGGCUCCGCAGAGAAGACAAAAUUGAAGCAAUUAUCUUUCAGUCUUGUUUUGUUUUAUGUUUACGAGAGACCAAGUGGGAUUCUGUAAAAGAACAGGAAAUGCAAAAAAAAAAAAUGGAAGGGAGACAUGUUUUCCUCCACCGUCCAACAGUUGUGCUGGGGAAGUGGCCAUUUCUCUGUGGGAGGGAGUGGUUCAGGAUAGGAUCCACAAAGAUAAUGGCCAGAGAACUGGUGGACGAGGGGGAGUUAAUUGGAGGGUGUCGUCUCGUUUUUGGGGCUCCCGGCUUACAUCACCGAUGAAGAAAUCAUCGAAAAGCUUCAUGGCUGGGGAGUGUCGGCAGUGUCGCCGAUUAAGCGUCGGGUGUGGCCAGCAACCAAGAUCGCUGACUGAAGAAGGACAGAAGUACAGACAGCCGCUAUGACUCAGGUUCUGUCGCCCAACCACCUGCAACCCUUCCAGAUCCCACUAGAAAACAUACCAUAACCACUGAGAGUACUGCCUGACAUGGUAACAGACCCUGAUCUUGAUAUUUCGACGAUUGUGGGAACAAGAAAACGACUCGCAGCGCUUAGACCAAGUGGGAUUCUGUAAAAGAACAGGAAGUGUUAAAGAAAUGGAAGGGAGACAUGUUUUCAUCCACAUUCAACAGUUGUGCUGGGGGAGUGGCCAUUUUUCUGCGACCCUUUUUGAGAAUUUGCCACGGCCACUGGGAGUACUGCCAACAUGGAAACUAACCGCAGUUUUGAUCUUUCGGCUAUUGUGGGAGCAAGGAAACCACUCGACCACCACUGGUUGGGAAAAGACCAAGAAGGUUGGAAUAUGUCCCUAUAAUCAAAAGAGUCCUGCAGAGUGAAAUUCUGAUUUUAAUAAAAUAUGGAUAAACAUAUGCAUGGUGUUGUGUUCUAUCAUUUUGUCUAGAUUUGAA